UACGGAGGGUGCAAGCGUUAUCCGGAUUCACUGGGUUUAAAGGGUGCGUAGGUGGGUUGGUAAGUCAGUGGUGAAAUCCCCGAGCUUAACUUGGGAACUGCCAUUGAUACUAUUAAUCUUGAAUACCGUGGAGGUUAGCGGAAUAUGUCAUGUAGCGGUGAAAUGCGCAGAUAUCGGGAGGAACACCAGUAGCGAAGGCGGCACUCUGGGCCGGUACUGACGCUGAGGAGCGAAAGCGUGGGGAGCAAACAGG
rnacentral:rRNA from 1 species